UGGGGAAUAUUGGGCAAUGGGGGAAACCCUGACCCAGCAACGCCGCGUGAGGGAAGAAGGUUUUCGGAUUGUAAACCUCUGUCCUUGGUGAAGAAAGAGAUGACGGUAGCCAAGGAGGAAGCCCCGGCUAACUACGUGCCAGCAGCCGCGGUAAUACGUAGGUGGCGAGCGUUGUCCGGAUUUACUGGGUGUAAAGGGCGUGCAGGCGGGAGCGCAAGUCAGAUGUGAAAGCUCCGGGCUCAACCCGGAGACUGCAUAUGAAACUGUGUUUCUUGAGUGAUGGAGAGGCAGGCGGAAUUCCUCGUGUAGCGGUGAAAUGCAUAGAUAUGAGGAGGAACACCAGUGGCGAAGGCGGCCUGCUGGACAUUAACUGACGCUGAGGCGCGAAAGCGUGGGGAGCAAACAGG
rnacentral:rRNA from 1 species